UUUUAAUCUAAAUUUAGUAGAGACGAAGUUCUCGAAACGUUGCCCAGGCUAGUCUUGCAUUCCUGGCCUCAAGAUAUCCUCCCUCUUUGUCUUUCCACAGCGCUAGGAUCAUAGGAAUGAGCCACCAUUCCCGGCUUACAUGCAAAUUAUUGUGCAGACAUUGUCACGAUUUUGGAUAUGGUUUGCUCACCAAAACUCAUGCUAAAGUUUGGUGUUCAUUGCAGCAGUGUUGGGAAUUGGGGCCUACUGGAAGAUGUUCUGUCAUGGGGCCAGUCCUUCAUGAAUAGAUAAUGCUGUCUUGUGAGAGUGAGUUCUUAGAUUCGUUACCCAAAAAGUGGGUUCUUAUAAAGCAGUCCUGUCCACCUCACAGCCCAUGGGCCCCAUGUGGCCGAGGAUGGCUUUAAAUGUGGCCCAACACACAUUCAUAAACUUUUUAAAAACGUUAUGAGACUACUAUUUUAACACUUAUUU